AUUGAACGCUGGCGGCAUGCCUAAUACAUGCAAGUCGAGCGGAUGGAGGGAGCUCUCGCCUGGAUUCAGCGGCGGACGGGUGAGUAAGGCACAGGAAUCUGCCUUGCAUAGGGGGCUAACGUCCCGAAAGGGGCGCGAAUACCGCACCGGUCCAGAGGGUGAAAGUGGGGGUUCUUUAGACCUCACGGGAUUAGAUGAGCCUAGGUCGGGUUAGCUAGUUGGUUGGGUAAAGGCCUACCAAGGCGACGAUCCGUAACUGGUCUGAGAGGAUGAUCAGUCACACUGGAACUGAGACACGGUCCAGACUCCUACGGGAGGCAGCAGUGGGGAAUAUUGGACAAUGGGCGAAAGCCUGAUCCAGCCAUGCCGCGUGUGUGAAGAAGGUCUUCGGAUUGUAAAGCACUUUAAGUUGGGAGGAAGGGCAGUAAGUUUAUACCUUGCUGUUUUGACGUUACCAACAGAAUAAGCACCGGCUAACUUCGUG
rnacentral:rRNA from 1 species